UUGAUUAAAAUAUUAAUUCACAGGCAGUACCAUAGACUAUAUUUGUUGGCCUGUUGCUGGGACAGGGUGAUUCCUUCACCUGUUUAUCAAUUUUGCACAGGUCUAGUUAUGGUUGAAAGAUUAACUUUCAAAUAGCAAAAUUUCUAUAUGAGAUAAAACCAGAAGGCUUAACAAGUAACAAAUUGAGUCAUGCUCUCUUCUUGCCAUCAAUUUGCAGUGCUGGGAGCAGCAGAAAGGGAAGAUGCAAAACAGAGAUGAUGCACAGAUUUGUGAGAAAUUACUCAUCAAUCCAAACCCCAAUAUGCAGCAGGGCCAAGAGGAAUUUAAUUUCACAUGAAAAAUGUCCAGUCACCAGCACAUAAAAUUGCUUCUCUAGAAGUGGCAUUUCCAGUUGCAGACUGUGUUCUGCUUAGACACAUAAAAUCCAUUGUAUUCCUCUUCCCCUUGCUAUGCAGUGCACACAUGAAUGGGAGCUGCUGCUGCAGAAGCUCAUUUGCUCCCAGGGUUGAAGGUGAUCACAUUCCUUCUAAUUACAUAAGAAAAUUCCACUGUCGUGGUGAUUGCUGCAACAAGAACAAAUGUGAAAUGCUUGGGAACAACAGUGCUUUGGGACUUCAGCAGAUCACCCCACUCUGUUCAGAGAAUGCUGGGACCUCUCUUCCUGAUACUCAGUUCCAAAUACAUUAGGCACCAAACAGUCCCAGCUGCUAUUUCUACCUUGCUUCACUUGCUUUUCAGUUUGCUUCCCUGCAUCCAUCAACAAUGAAGGAAAAGAGGUAACAGGAUUUACUGCAUGGUUGUUCUAGCUCUUUGUACAGAAUCCACUAAAAUCCCACUAAAAUACAAUAAAUAACUGGUUUUCUGUUACUUUUCUCUUUGUUUUGAAAUUAGGAGGCAGUUUUAUUCAUUCAUAGGUCAGGAAGAUAAGGGCUUGCUCUGCCAUAACGUGUGCUGGUUUAGCAUGGCUUCAGGGUACAGUGUUUGCUAGGUUUGUUUGAACUUUCUUUGGGUUACCAGGCCUUCACAAGUAGAAGAAUUUCCUCUUUUGCUAGUACUGGCAGCAUCAUAGCCAGUCUCCUGCAGUGCUCACCAAACCAAAGCUGGUGAAACUCUAGAAGAAACCAAGACUUUGCUUCCAGCACAUACAAAAAAUACCAGGGAAGUGGGAUGGAGAAAACAGUUUCCUUUAGGAAUAUACACCUGGUAUGCAACUGACUGUGAUUCUACCUGUGACUGUCAAAAUCUAGAAUUAGAUCUUUGUCUUCCAGGACAAGGGGACAGACAAUAGGAGCCUCAGAGGAAAAAAAUAGUACAGUACAAGAAAUGGGCAUCUUCAUUCACGUCAUGGCAUUCCCUGGGAUACCAAGGGUGACUGUUUGAUCUCACCUUUACACAGAAGUCUCCAAGGGCAGAGGGCAAAAGGGAACUGCAGGAAGGAUAGAGGAGAGAAAAGUCACACCAGCAUGUGGACAGCAACACAGACUGCAGCCCACAGCAGAACAGUCAGACCUUUCUCUUGCUGGUGGGGACAACUCACGUGGCAGAAGAUGAAAGUUGGUGCUGUUGAACUUUACAUUAAUCACUGUCUGCCAGGAGAGGAGCUGGAGCAGCCUGGCUCUGCCAGUGUGGAGCACAAGGAAUCGCUCAGGGGUGCUGGUUUCUCCUGCCAUGGGGAUGUGCUGCAUCAGCAGCAGGACCACGGCACAAGAGACUUGGAAACUGCUGCAGUUAAAACAAGGAAGGAUGGAAAAUGACAGGAUGUAAAACCAGCACCCUCCUCUUCCAGAAAACCACAGAACAAACUCAGAAGAUCUUGAACAGGAAGGUGAUCAUUAAUUCAGUAACAAAAUUACCUCAUAUUGUUAAAACAUCCUUCCUUCUCCCCAAAGGCCAGCAGAGCAGGUGAGGACACUGCACUCGUCUGCACAUCCCCUCAGCACUGAGGAUGCAUCACUGCACCAUUUUAGGAGAAACACACUGCACUGGCAUGUCAGGUCUCAAACGAGCAGCCUUUUAGACUUAGGGCAAACCCAACAUUUUUGGUUUAAAACAACAGUACUUUGGGAACUUCUCAUUCAGGGGUUUCCAAAAGCAUGUGCCAUUCCCUAAAAAGCUGAGCUGGCUAUUGCUUCAGAGGCAGCUCUGCACAGGCCAUAGUCCCACAAUGUACUUCACAUUUCCCUGCCCACACAAAACCCCCCUCUCAGCCUGGAAGAGGGCAGGCACCAGAUGCUCUCAAUGCAGCUCUCUGUUUCCUAAUGCAACAUUUCACAGCCAAAAAUAAACCAGCCCCAAACAACUCACUGGUCUGUAGGUGCUGCACAUCCUAUCUGUUUCAUCAUCUAAAGCCGAGUUCCGUGCUGCAGAAAUGGUUAUACCUCAAAAGAGAAAGGUUCACUGGGGUAAAGAAGUGCAAAGGACAAUUAAAGAAGGCAGGGGCUCUCCUAAGGAAAGCACUCUGGCACGUCUCCUCCUCAGUGGCUUGGCCCCCUGAGCAGAAUACAAAUGAAGAGCAUCACUGACAGCCCAGCCUAACAUCUCAGUCGCCUUCACAAGCCAUCCAUUCGGCUCAGGGCACAGACACAGUGCAGGCAUUGUCACAAAUACACUGGGCACAAACAGACUGAGAGGGAGGCCCACAGACAAACAUCACCCUAUUGAGACUGAACACAGCCUUAAAAAUAUACUAACAGAUACAGCUAUUAACAUGCCUGCACAGAACAGAAUAUGGGCAGAGCACUCAAAGUGCUUGUUCAUUCCUCAACCUCCAUUUCAAGCUAUAAUGUCACCCUGUAAUUAGCUGAAAUAACCUCUAUUCUGCUCAGCUUCGCCACUGAUGAGAAGCUCACAAGAAGCAUGAAUCGUCAGGAAAGGUUUAAAAAUACAUGCAAAUUUAACAGCAA